AGCACUCAGACAAACAACUGCAAGAAAACAACCCCACCUGCAAGAAAACAACCCCCUUGUGAUUAGCAGUCACGUAGAUCCUGGCCUUGAAACCAGCUGCUGGCAACAAUAUUUUUUAAUUCCUCAAUCGGGUGAUAUGGGAACAUUGUCAUGGGAACUCCUCGUAGUCGUCCAGGUAGCUUGGUUUGCUCAGCUGCAGCAAGUCAUGGCCUCCUUGCUGUUCCAAAAAUCCCUCAAUAUAACACCAUGCUAGUCUGAACAUCCCAAGGAUAUCCAACAUCUUGGAGAACUAUUAGCAUGGGCAGAGGUGGAAGCUACCCCCUGCAGUCUGGACAAGAUCCAGGAACCCACAGAGUCUGUGCAGGAACAAAAAGUUACUAGCGGUGAUGAAGAAGAACCAUGAGCCUUCAUCCCCACGACCUGCAAUGACCACCACCAAGAGAUACUGUGCAGGCGCCAAAAGGAGGAGUUUGUGAAAAUACUAACUAUAAUACGAAGUGGGGAUAGGUCAUACAUAUGUAUAGGCGUACUCGGAUUUCUCAUGAAUAUGUAAAAGUGAUGUUCUAUAUAUAUAUUUAGAAAGUCCGACGGUUGUGCGUGCAUGUUGGUAGAGCAUAAGCUCCCCAUGCACUCAGUGCUGUUUACUUGCCUUUUAUAAAUAUUACUAAAUUCAGAUUGAGUUGUAUCUUCAUUUAUAACAAUAUAAACUGUACUAUGUGACUAGUAGGCGCGCUCCUGCUUGUGGGAUGCCCGCCAUUGCAAUCGCAAAUAAAAAUGCUACUUCACUGAGA